GCUGUGGGCGUUUACGUGGAGCACGUGAAGGCGGCACGUUUGGGUCUGUUUAGCUCUGUCCGCUGCUCCCUGACAGUUGAAGAGGACACACAGAGGCACGAAACAGCGAGAAAGACAAAAUGAAGGACGUCAAUAUUAUGCGGAUUCUCGUCAUAAUCCUGUGUGCGGUGGUUUUUGUUGCCGUUUUAGUCUUUAACGCUUUGGCCGGAGCGGGCAAAGGUCCCUUUCAUACUUCUACAGGAAAUGUAUCAGCCCGCUAUGAGACAGGCAUCACUCCAGCUGGCUGGACCUUCUCCAUCUGGGGCGUUAUCUAUACCUGGCUCACCCUGAUGGUGAUUUAUAUCACUUCAUACACAUGCAGAGGAUCCUGGGCUCAGUGUCUGCUGCCCUACGGCUUCUAUAUUUGCUGGCUCUCCAACAUGGUGCUGAACAUAAUCUGGCUCCUGCUGUGGGACGCAGAGAUGACGCUGGCGUCUUUGGUCGUUUUAAUCCUGAUAGCGGUUUCUGGCUAUAGCGCUCUGUUCUUCUGUUGCUUUGCCACAGAUUACUACGGACUCUGGUUACAGACGUACCAUCGCAAAGACCUGACCUUUCUCAGAGUACUGGUCCAAAAUGGUUUGGCUCUCUACACUACAUGGACUUCUAUCGCCUCUCUGAUCAAUUUCUCUGUAGUUCUCCACCUGUGGGGUGUGGAUAAGAGCACGGCAGCAACUGCGUCACUGUGCAUCCUGUUUGCAGAGGUGCUGGCAUGGUUCAUUCUGGAGAACUGGGUGCUGGACCGCUGGGUGCGCAACAUCCUCACAAUCUACCCGGUGGUGAUCGUGGCUCUGGUCGGAAACGUCUACAAGCACUUCAACCCAGCUGAUCCCACUCCAAACGCCAUCUUUAUGGUUGUGCUGUUGGUGCUGGCGUGCAUCCUUUUCGUGUCCAGAUUCUUCACGGUGCUCUGGAGGAACAAGUGGCGCCCUCUGCACUCCCCGGGCUCAGCACGGCUGAUGGUGUCACCCCUCGACGGCAGGACGUUCAGAGUCCUUUCUUAAACGAAACUCGUGCCUCUCCAGACCCACUGAGUUACAUGUUCACACCACCUCCACAGUCAUGUUUGAAGGUAGAUCUAAAUGUUAAACAGAGUUUAUCUGUCAGCAUGGGGAGCAAAUGUAUUUCUUCAGUGGAAGAAAGAGUCUGCACGGGAAGGCAGGAAACCCACAAAUCUUUUCUAUCUGCUCUUCAGCUGUACUGAAGAAAAUAGAAAUACCUUCUUUAAAAUACUUUAAAUUCUUUUAAAAACUACUACAACUAUUUAAUACACUGCUUAAUUUUAUCUUAAUGUACUUUAUUCAUGUAUUUCAGUGUUUCCCACUCACACACUUUAGUUUGCAGGUUUAUUAGUGGCUCCCGCAGCUCAUUUUUGAUUUGGUUUUUUUUGUUGUUGUUGUUUUUUGUUUUUUAUCCAUCUGAGACAAUGAGACAAGUUCACACUCCAUGAUUUCAUGAUCUCUGUGCUCUUAUUUUGAAAGUUCGAUCACUGCUAAUUAGGGAUGGGUACUGGUGUCCGGUGCCAUCUGACAUAAACGGUAGUAACCAGACUGAAAAGCAGCGCACAUUUUGGUGCUUUUUUUUAAUUGAGAUGUCAUACACUUUGGAUUCUAGCCAAUCAUUUUACGUUUCCAAGGAUAGUAGGCGGGCCCAGGUACAUACGUUCUUUUAGAGCAGAGCUACAGAUUAAAAAUGCCCAAGGCGAAGCGGUCAAAAGUCUGGCUGUACUUCACAGCAAAAGAUGCAAACUCAGCAGCCUGCAACAAGUGCUUUAAGCUGAUUCUGUGCAAAGGAGGUAACACCUCGAAUCUGAUGAAACACCUGGCGACGCAUAGCGUUUUUUUAAUAGCCGAGAAAUGCACCGUAUUUGAUAGCUUGCUGCAAGUCCUCACACCGUGCACAUCUACUGCGGGUGUGGUGCCUGUUAUCGGACCCGGAGUUAGCAACAUCCCCCAAGAACCCGACGAGUAGAGUCCUGGCCCCUAGCCCUGUCAGCGUAGCAGAAAUGAUGAGGAUGAUGAUGGCAGCAGCAGCAGCCGUUCUUCUCUGCGUGAGUAGCUUCAUGUUGUUCGUGUGUAAUUUACGUUGAGUAGGCUAACCACGUUAUUACAUUAAUGCACGUAAGGUGAACUAGCAAACACUGUCGUAGUUACAUGCGGCUGUCUUCUUGUUUGAUAGAGUGGUACCAUAUAUGCCCUAUAGCUGCAGAAAAGGCUAACAUUGUUAUCUUUUUACAAAAAAAACAGCUAAACAUGAGAGGUUUUAGGACAAAGUUUGUGUUUUCCAUUGUUUAAGCACCGGUUCCAACCAAAGGAGGUAUGUUGUAUCAACAGCAAAGGCUAACUUGGUUAUCAUUUUGCAGAAAAAAAAGAGACUGCUAAAAAUAAAAACAUAAGAGGUUUUUGGACAAAGUUUGUGUUCUCCAUUCUUUAAGCACCGGUUUGAGCACCGUUUAAGCACCGGCACCGUUUCAAAAGUACCGGUUUGGCGCCGAUAUCGGAUAAAACCUAGACGAUACCCAUCCCUACUGCUAAUCAGCUGGCUCGCUGCACAGUUUACUGUUGUGGUGAUGCUCAGUGUCGUUCGGCUGUUUUUCCUGACAGAUUCUGGUCCUGAAGUCAGGACGAGAAACUCCAACUCCAGCUUCUUGGACUGCAGAUAGUUGAUGUUAGCUGGGUAUCAUGAACCAUUUUUUUUU
ensembl:lncRNA